ensembl:lncRNA
CUACCGUGCUGCUUUACCCUGCUGCCAGUGUCCGUUCACCUCAUGUGUCUGUCCCUGAGAGACCGUACAUGUCUCCCACCUAUGAUGGCUGGCAGCAGGGCAGCAGAGAAGAGACCAGGAUCCAGGCCCAGAGCACCCAGCUGAGUCCUGGAAGACGACGGCGCAGUUCUUCUAUCUCUCGAUGCACCUCGUCCUCCCCAUUGGUCUACAGCGUCCUGGUGGGGGAUAAGCAGACCCGCUACAACCUGAGGAACCGGAGGAGCUGUGCUGUGUUGGACCAGGACUGAGACGGACCGAGGAUGGGCGAAGUGAAAGUCAACGCUAGUGCUCUUCAGAGUAGGAUGGGAAUCACAGGAUUUAUGCUUGAACCUGAAUCUGGUGUUUAUUAGCCACUGUUUCGUCUAUUUUUAUUCAAUCAAAGAUCACAAACAUUGAGUUCAGUGACAGACAAUGAAACAUCU